GAUAAUAACUUAUCGUAGUUGAUACAUGCCUUAUUUUGAAUAAGUUAUCCAAGUUACCGACAACUUGCUUUGCCCGUUGAAUUUCUCGGUGAAAUUCUCUUUGUUGGGGCCCCGAACCCCAACUUGCCUUGUCCGUGGAAUUUCUCGGUGAAAUUCUCUUUGUUGGGGCCCCGAACCCCAACUUGCCUUGUCCGUGGAAUUUCUCGGUGAAAUUCUCUUUGUUGGGGCCCCGAACCCCAACUUGCCUUGUCCGUGGAAUUUCAACAUGUACUUCG
rnacentral:ncRNA from 1 species